GAUGAACGCUGGCGGCGUGCUUAAUACAUGCAAGUCGAACGGAAGUAGCAAUACUUCAGUGGCGAACGGGUGAGUAACACGUAGGUAACCUACCCUUUACACGGGGAUAACAGUUGGAAACGACUGCUAAUACCGGAUAGGAUGUAAGGAGGCAUCUCUUUACAUUUAAAGUAACAAUGGUAGAGGAGGGGCCUGCGGCGCAUUAGUUAGUUGGCGGGGUAAGAGCCCACCAAGACGAUGAUGCGUAGCCGGACUGAGAGGUUGAACGGCCACAAUGGGACUGAGAGACGGCCCAUACUCCUACGGGAGGCAGCAGUAGGGAAUUUUCGGCAAUGGGGGCAACCCUGACCGAGCAACGCCGCGUGAUAGAUAAGUAUUUCGGUAUGUAAAUAUCUUUUAUUUGGGAAGAAUGAGUAGAAGUACUGUGACGGUACCAAAUGAAUAAGCCCCGGCUAACUAUGUGCCAGCAGCCGCGGUAAUACAUAGGGGGCGAGCGUUAUCCGGAAUUAUUGGGCGUAAAGGGUGUGUAGGCGGUUAAUCAAGUCUAUAGUGUAAGUGCAGUGCUUAACGCUGUGAUGCUAUAGAAACUAGUUAACUAGAGGGAGAUAGAGGCAAGUGGAAUUCCAUGUGUAGUGGUAAAAUGCGUAAAUAUAUGGGGGAACACCAGUGGCGAAGGCGGCUUGCUAGGUCUUUACUGACGCUGAGGCACGAAAGCGUGGGGAGCAAACAGGAUUAGAUACCCUGGUAGUCCACGCCCUAAACGAUGAGUACUAAGUAUCUGGGGAACUGGGUGCUGAAGCUAACGCGAUAAGUACUCCGCCUGAGUAGUACGCACGCAAGUGUGAAACUUAAAGGAAUUGACGGGACCCCGCACAAGCGGUGGAUCAUGUUGUUUAAUUCGACGAUACGCGAAGAACCUUACCAGGUCUGGACAUGCCCGGCGAUGCCUAUUGAAAGAUAGGCGGAGGUUACCCGGAGCACAGGUGGUGCAUGGUUGUCGUCAGCUCGUGUCGUGAGAUGUUCGGUUAAGUCCGAAAACGAGCGCAACCCCUGUCUUAUGUUACUAACAUUAAGUUGAGGACUCAUGAGAUACAAACUACGUAAGUAGUGGGAAGGUGGGGAUGACGUCAAAUCAUCAUGCCCUUUAUGAUCUGGGCUACAAACGUGAUACAAUGGCUGGAACAAAGAGAUGCGAAGUUGUGAGAUGGAGCGAAUCUCAAAAAUACAGUCUCAGUUCGGAUUGAAGUCUGCAACUCGACUUCAUGAAGCCGGAAUCGCUAGUAAUCGCGAAUCAGAAUGUCGCGGUGAAUACGUUCUCGGGGU
rnacentral:rRNA from 1 species